UGGGGAAUAUUGCACAAUGGGCGCAAGCCUGAUGCAGCCAUGCCGCGUGUGUGAAGAAGGCCUUCGGGUUGUAAAGCACUUUCAGCGGGGAGGAAGGCGAUAAGGUUAAUAACCUUGUCGAUUGACGUUACCCGCAGAAGAAGCACCGGCUAACUCCGUGCCAGCAGCCGCGGUAAUACGGAGGGUGCAAGCGUUAAUCGGAAUUACUGGGCGUAAAGCGCACGCAGGCGGUUUGUUAAGUCAGAUGUGAAAUCCCGGGCUCAACCUGGGAACUGCAUCUGAUACUGGCAAGCUUGAGUCUCGUAGAGGGGGGUAGAAUUCCAGGUGUAGCGGUGAAAUGCGUAGAGAUCUGGAGGAAUACCGGUGGCGAAGGCGGCCCCCUGGACGAAGACUGACGCUCAGGUGCGAAAGCGUGGGGAGCAAACAGG
rnacentral:rRNA from 1 species